GAUGAACGCUGGCGGCGUGCCUAACACAUGCAAGUCGAGCGGCAGCGAGGGGUGCUUGCACCCUGCCGGCGAGCGGCGGACGGCUGAGUAACGCGUGGGAACGUACCCCAAAGUGCGGAAUAACUGCCCGAAAGGGUCUCUAAUACCGCAUAUUAUCUUCGGAUCAAAGGAUUUAUCCGCUUUGGGAGCGGCUCGCGUCGGAUUAGGUAGUUGGUGAGGUAAUGGCUCACCAAGCCGACGAUCCGUAGCUGGUCUGAGAGGAUGACCAGCGAGACUGGAACUGAGACACAGUCCAGACUCCUACGGGAGGCAGCAGUGAGGAAUCGUCCAAAAUGGGCGAAAGCACGAUGGAGCAACGCCGCGAGCAGGACGAAGGCCGUCGGGUUGUAAACUGCUUUUAUAAGUGAGGAAUAUGACGGUAACUAAUGAAUAAGGAUCGGCUAACUACGUG
rnacentral:rRNA from 1 species